GCCUCUGUAGAUCAUGGCGAUUGCCUCAAAUUGAUGGGAGAUAUGUGUUGGAGAAAUUUAUCGGGGAGUUGGAGGUUCGAUUCCUCCCAGGGGCG